GUGCUCACUUUGGUAGCACAUACACUACAACUGGAAUGGUACAGGGAAGAUUAGCAUGGCCCCUGUGCAAAGAUGAUAUGCAAAUUUAUGAAGUGUUAGAAAAAUAA